rnacentral:rRNA from 1 species
CGCAAGCCUGAUCCAGCCAUGCCGCGUGUGUGAAGAAGGUCUUCGGAUUGUAAAGCACUUUAAGUUGGGAGGAAGGGCUCUUGGCUAAUACCCAAGGGUUUUGACGUUACCAACAGAAUAAGCACCGGCUAACUUCGUGCCAGCAGCC